GACGAACGCUGGCGGCGUGCUUAACACAUGCAAGUCGAACGGAAAGGCCCUGCUUUUGUGGGGUGCUCGAGUGGCGAACGGGUGAGUAACACGUGAGUAACCUGCCCUUGACUUUGGGAUAACUUCAGGAAACUGGGGCUAAUACCGGAUAGGAGCUCUUGCUGCAUGGUGGGGGUUGGAAAGUUUCGGCGGUUGGGGAUGGACUCGCGGCUUAUCAGCUUGUUGGUGGGGUAGUGGCUUACCAAGGCUUUGACGGGUAGCCGGCCUGAGAGGGUGACCGGCCACAUUGGGACUGAGAUACGGCCCAGACUCCUACGGGAGGCAGCAGUGGGGAAUAUUGCACAAUGGGCGGAAGCCUGAUGCAGCAACGCCGCGUGCGGGAUGACGGCCUCCGGGUUGUAAACCGCUUUCGCCUGUGACGAAGCGUGAGUGACGGUAAUGGGUAAAGAAGCACCGGCUAACUACGUGCCAGCAGCCGCGGUGAUACGUAGGGUGCGAGCGUUGUCCGGAUUUAUUGGGCGUAAAGGGCUCGUAGGUGGUUGAUCGCGUCGGAAGUGUAAUCUUGGGGCUUAACCCUGAGCGUGCUUUCGAUACGGGUUGACUUGAGGAAGGUAGGGGAGAAUGGAAUUCCUGGUGGAGCGGUGGAAUGCGCAGAUAUCAGGAGGAACACCAGUGGCGAAGGCGGUUCUCUGGGCCUUUCCUGACGCUGAGGAGCGAAAGCGUGGGGAGCGAACAGGCUUAGAUACCCUGGUAGUCCACGCUGUAAACGGUGGGUACUAGGUGUGGGGUCCAUUCCACGGGUUCCGUGCCGUAGCUAACGCUUUAAGUACCCCGCCUGGGGAGUACGGCCGCAAGGCUAAAACUCAAAGGAAUUGACGGGGCCCCGCACAAGCGGCGGAGCAUGCGGAUUAAUUCGAUGCAACGCGUAGAACCUUACCUGGGUUUGACAUGGAUCGGGAGUGCUCAGAGAUGGGUGUGCCUCUUUUGGGGUCGGUUCACAGGUGGUGCAUGCCUGUCGUCAGCUCGUGUCGUGAGAUGUUGGGUUAAGUCCCGCAACGAGCGCAACCCUUGUUCACUGUUGCCAGCACGUUAUGGUGGGGACUCAGUGGAGACCGCCGGGGUCAACUCGGAGGAAGGUGGGGAUGACGUCAAGUCAUCAUGCCCCUUAUGUCCAGGGCUUCACGCAUGCUACAAUGGCUGGUACAGAGAGUGGCGAGCCUGUGAGGGUGAGCGAAUCUCGGAAAGCCGGUCUCAGUUCGGAUUGGGGUCUGCAACUCGACCUCACGAAGUCGGAGUCGCUAGUAAUCGCAGAUCAGCAACGCUGCGGUGAAUACGUUCCCGGGGCU
rnacentral:rRNA from 1 species